rnacentral:rRNA from 1 species
UGCCACAGCCAUAUCACUCUGCAGCCCAAGACUGGUUGCCCACUGAAGCUAAGCAGGGUUGAGCCUGGUCAGUGCCUGGAUGGGAGACCUCCUGGGAAAACUACGUUGCUGUUGGAA